GGUACUGCGGCGCAGACUGACGGAGCACGCCGCGUGAGGGAGGAAUGUCUGUGGAUUGUAAACCUCUUUUCUCUGGGAAGAAGAUCUGACGGUACCAGAGGAAUCAGCAUCGGCUAACUCCGUGCCAGCAGCCGCGGUAAGACGGAGGAUGCAAGCGUUAUCCGGAAUUAUUGGGCGUAAAGCGUCCGUAGGCGGUUACAUAAGUCAGUUGUUAAAGACUGCAGCUCAACUGUGGAAGAGCAACUGAAACUGUGUGACUAGAGUAUGGUAGGGGUAGAGGGAAUUCCUAGUGUAGCGGUGAAAUGCGUAGAUAUUAGGAAGAACACCAGUGGCGAAGGCGCUCUGCUGGGCCAAGACUGACGCUGAUGGACGAAAGCUAGGGGAGCGAAAGGGAUUAGAUACCCCCUGUAGUACAAAU
rnacentral:rRNA from 1 species